AGCCCGGCUGGCGCAAUGGUAGCGCGCAAGACUGUAAAUUUCCCCCACCCCCGACUCGAUAUUAUGCUCUUUUCGCUGACCUCCCCUCUGUCUAAAACUGUGAUCUUGAGGCUGCGGGUUCGACCCCCGCGUUGGGCUU
rnacentral:tRNA from 1 species